AUUAAGCAUCCAUCAUCAUUUAUCAGACAACAUCACACCCUUGGCCCUAAUAUUACCAACAUCUUCCUUCCACCUACAACCAUCCACAAUCACCUACAUCGUACCAUCCCACCUUAAAGUUAGACCCAGUCUUGCUUGCUUCGUUCACCCCCUUUAUCUUCAAAAAAGUCGCUCUGCCUCCUUAUGUCCACCAUCGCUACUAAUCAUCUCUGGUCCAACUGAUAUGACUUCGAUCCUUCAAAAACAUUUCUCAUACAUUAUAGUGUUAUAACAGGUAAAUUGACUAUAGUUUGUAGUUAAGGAUCAUGGUAAAUAUAUUUUGCACUCUAUCUAUUCGAUCAAGUGCUUCAAAGGGUGUUUAACAUAUAUUUUUUUAAUCAGGUCUAGAACGAGUUUUGGAUCCAAGAGAAGAUAACGAGUCUAAAAGGGGGAGGUGUGCAGAGGUCGCCACUACAGAAAAGCUACAAAAAAAAAAGAAAAAAAAAAUUAAAGACAGCGAUGGAAAAUCAGGGUACUGUCAAAGCCAACCUUGAUUACUGGUACUUCCAGUAGCGGAUGAUGGAGCUCGGGAUGAUCGCAUGGCACACACCAUAGAUUAGUCAGCCUGGGAAUGUUUUACUCUAAUAAUGAACAUGUGUUUUGAGAACUAAUACUCUGUUUAUGUUUUGAAAUGAUGAUUUUACUUUAAGUGAUACUUUAUUAAAAGAAA